rnacentral:rRNA from 1 species
GACGAACGCUGGCGGCGUGCUUAACACAUGCAAGUCGAACGGAAAGGCCCUGCUUUUGUGGGGUGCUCGAGUGGCGAACGGGUGAGUAACACGUGAGUAACCUGCCCUUGACUUUGGGAUAACUUCAGGAAACUGGGGCUAAUACCGGAUAGGAGCUCCUGCUGCAUGGUGGGGGUUGGAAAGUUUCGGCGGUUGGGGAUGGACUCGCGGCUUAUCAGCUUGUUGGUGGGGUAGUGGCUUACCAAGGCUUUGACGGGUAGCCGGCCUGAGAGGGUGACCGGCCACAUUGGGACUGGGAUACGGCCCAGACUCCUACGGGAGGCAGCAGUGGGGAAUAUUGCACAAUGGGCGGAAGGCUGAUGCAGCAACGCCGCGUGCGGGAUGACGGCCUUCGGGUUGUAAACCGCUUUCGCCUGUGGCGAAGCGUGAGUGACGGUAAUGGGUAAAGAAGCACCGGCUAACUACGU